GGAGAGUUUGAUUAAUGCCACUUAGACCUCGUGCUGAAUCAGAGUUUUAAGAAAAACGAGCCGUGGAAGCUGAAUCUAAGGUAGAAGUGAUCGGAGUUAAGCUGCAAAUGUUUGUAGCAACCCGGAGUUAUUUGAGAAUAGUUCUCAAAUGAAGAAGAGUUGAGAUUUGAGACCUUGAGAUUGAGAACAGAGUAGAGGAGGAAGAAGAAGAGCAGUAAUCGUCG
rnacentral:misc_RNA from 1 species